rnacentral:lncRNA from 1 species
AAGAUGUGCCGUCGCCAUCUCCCCCGAGAGCUUUGGAGGAGAUCCCUGCCCGAGGGUGACGAAGAGGGUGGCGGUCGAGGCAGUAUGUUCUCCCACUGCUUAGCCCUACUUCUCUUAAGCAAUGAAUUUGAAGGCGGUCGUCGGUCGCCAUCUCUGCAAUGAAUUUGAAGGCAGUCGUCAGUCGGCAAAAAAGAUUGGCCGAAACCAAUGUGGGUAGAGUGGAACUGUAAGUAUCGACUUCGAUUAGAUGUGUCUGGCUGGAGAGAUUAGGUCUU